rnacentral:rRNA from 1 species
UAUGAACGCUGGCGGCGUGCCUAAUACAUGCAAGUCGAGCGAACAGACGAGGAGCUUGCUCCUCUGACGUUAGCGGCGGACGGGUGAGUAACACGUGGAUAACCUACCUAUAAGACUGGGAUAACUUCGGGAAACCGGAGCUAAUACCGGAUAAUAUAUUGAACCGCAUGGUUCAAUAGUGAAAGACGGUUUUGCUGUCACUUAUAGAUGGAUCCGCGCCGCAUUAGCUAGUUGGUAAGGUAACGGCUUACCAAGGCAACGAUGCGUAGCCGACCUGAGAGGGUGAUCGGCCACACUGGAACUGAGACACGGUCCAGACUCCUACGGGAGGCAGCAGUAGGGAAUCUUCCGCAAUGGGCGAAAGCCUGACGGAGCAACGCCGCGUGAGUGAUGAAAGUCUUCGGAUCGUAAAACUCUGUUAUUAGGGAAGAACAAAUGUGUAAGUAACUAUGCACGUCUUGACGGUACCUAAUCAGAAAGCCACGGCUAACUACGUG